rnacentral:rRNA from 1 species
GGGUGCAAGCGUUAUCCGGAUUCACUGGGUUUAAAGGGUGCGUAGGCGGGCAGGUAAGUCAGUGGUGAAAUCCUAGAGCUUAACUCUAGAACUGCCAUUGAUACUAUCUGUCUUGAAUAUUGUGGAGGUAAGCGGAAUAUGUCAUGUAGCGGUGAAAUGCUUAGAUAUGACAUAGAACACCUAUUGCGAAGGCAGCUUACUACGCAUAUAUUGACGCUGAGGCACGAAAGCGUGGGGAUCAAACAGG